rnacentral:rRNA from 1 species
UUCCGGUUGAUCCCGCCGGACCUGACUGCUAUCGGAUUGAUACUAAGCCAUGCGAGUCAUUGUAGCAAUACAAGGCAGACGGCUCAGUAACGCGUAGUCAACCUAACCUAUGGACGGGAAUAACCUCGGGAAACUGAGAAUAAUGCCCGAUAGAACAUUAUGCCUGGAAUGGUUUAUGUUCCAAAUGAUUUAUCGCCGUAGGAUGGGACUGCGGCCUAUCAGUUUGUUGGUGAGGUAAUGGCCCACCAAGACUAUUACAGGUACGGGCUCUGAGAGGAGUAGCCCGGAGAUGGGUACUGAGACACGGACCCAGGCCCUAUGGGGCGCAGCAGGCGAGAAAACUUUGCAAUGUGCGAAAGCACGACAAGGUUAAUCCGAGUGGUUUCUGCUAAAGGAACCUUUUGUCGGUCCUAGAAACACCGAUGAAUAAGGGGUGGGCAAGUUCUGGUGUCAGCCGCCGCGGUAAAACCAGCACCCUCAAGUGGUCAGGAUGAUUAUUGGGCCUAAAGCAUCCGUAGCCUGCUUUGUUAGUUUUCGGUUAAAUCUGUACGCUCAACGUACAGGCUGCCGGGAAUACUGCAAAGCUAGGGAGUGGGAGAGGUAGACGGUACUCGGUAGGAAGGGGUAAAAUCCUUUGAUCUAUUGAUGACCACCUGUGGCGAAGGCGGUCUACCAGAACACGUCCGACGGUGAGGGAUGAAAGCUGGGGGAGCAAACCGGAUUAGAUACCCGGGUAGUCCCAGCCGUAAACCAUGCAAACUCAGUGAUGCAUUGGCUUGUGGCCAAUGCAGUGCUGCAGGGAAGCCGUUAAGUUUGCCGCCUGGGAAGUACGUACGCAAGUAUGAAACUUAAAGGAAUUGGCGGGGGAGCACCACAAGGGGUGAAGCCUGCGGUUCAAUUGGAGUCAACGCCGGG